rnacentral:rRNA from 1 species
GACAGAGGUCCCGAGCGUUAGGCGGAAUCACUGGGCUUAAAGCGUGUGUAGGCGGAUUUGUAAGUACCUUGUGAAAUCCCACAGCUUAACUGUGGAACUGCUUGGUAUACUGCUUAUCUAGGGCCACUUAGGGGUUACCGGAACAAACGGUGGAGCGGUGAAAUGCGUAGAUAUCGUUUGGAACGCCAAUGGUGAAAACAGGUAACUGGGAGUGUGCCGACGCUGAGACACGAAAGCCAGGGGAGCGAACGGG